UGGUGGAGUGAUUUGUCUGCUUAAUUGCGAUAACGAACGAGACCUCGGCCCUUAAAUAGCCCGGUCCGCAUUUGCGGCGCUGGCUUCUUAGGGGACUAUCGGCUCAAGCCGAUGGAAGUGCGCGGCAAUAACA
rnacentral:rRNA from 1 species